UUUCCGUAGGUGAACCUGGGGAAGGAUCAUUAAUGAGUUGUCAUGGGGUUCGAUGCUGGCAGCCAGUUUUUGGAUGCAUGUGCUUGCCCUAACAAUCAUCUUCUUCCAAACACCUGUGCACAUUUUUGAGGGAGUCUUGAGUUGGUUGCCGCUCUUGGGUGAUUUUCUCACAUUCCCUUAAAUCAUUAUACGCUAUUAACAAUGUUGAACGUGCUCUGUGCCGCAAGGCCAUUAAUAUAAUACAACUUUUAACAACGGAUCUCUUGGCUCUC
rnacentral:misc_RNA from 1 species